rnacentral:rRNA from 1 species
GAUGAACGCUGGCGGCGUGCCUAACACAUGCAAGUCGAACGGGACUUAUUGAGACGAUUUCGGUCUGAUCAUUAAGUUUAGUGGCGGACGGGUGAGUAACGCGUGGACAACCUGCCUUUCACAGGGGGAUAGCAGCUGGAAACGGCUGGUAAUACCGCAUACGCGAGAGAUGCCGCAUGACAUCACUCGGAAAGACUUAUCGGUGAAAGAUGGAUCCGCGUCUGAUUAGCCAGUUGGCGGGGUAACGGCCCACCAAAGCGACGAUCAGUAGCCGGCCUGAGAGGGCGGACGGCCACAUUGGGACUGAGACACGGCCCAG